rnacentral:rRNA from 1 species
UACGGAGGGUGCAAGCGUUAUCCGGAUUCACUGGGUUUAAAGGGUGCGUAGGUGGGCAGGUAAGUCAGUGGUGAAAUCUCCGGGCUUAACUCGGAAACUGCCAUUGAUACUAUCUUUCUUGAAUACCGUGGAGGUCAGCGGAAUAUGUCAUGUAGCGGUGAAAUGCUUAGAUAUGACAUAGAACACCAAUUGCGAAGGCAGCUCACUACGGAUAUAUUGACACUGAGGCACGAAAGCGUGGGGAUCAAACAGG